CAUUAUUUUGAUCAAUUUGAUCACAAUUAGCCCGUAGUCGAAAAUUCGACAUAUUACACUCACCUUGAUUUAUUUAAUCAAGGUUAACUCUAUAAUCCGAAAACUCCUUUUACAUUUCGUUUCGCGCCCAAUUUGCGCCGAAACACUCAUUUAUCUCCGGAAUUCAUUCCCACGCAUCCAAAAUUACUCGGGAAUGAUGCACAUUUAAUCCAAACUUCUCUUUGAUCCUUUAGAUCAAAGUUAGCACUACAACUCAAGGUUUCCAUAUAUUACAAUCUCCCCCCGUUAAUCAAAGUUUCGUCCGCAAAACUUAGAUACAAAUCUCUCCUCAUUUCCUCUAGCGGAUGGAGCUAAGUUCCAACAAUCACCAACGAAUAGAAUCAUACCAUUCCAAAGUUUCUCAACUUCACUCCAUACUAUACUGAUUUUUCCAAAUCAGUCUCUACGAACACUUCGUUCGUGUCUCCAAUAUCAACUCAUCAUCAGUGCUCAAUUCAGCAACUCCCACUAGAUCAACAACAGGACCGAGCCUCACUCUUACGGUCCCUACUCACAAUCCAGUAGGAUAGGUCCAAUACACUCACUUUCAGUGUACAUGGGUAAACCGUCCGUCCCAACUACCACAAAUCGGCUCACCAAUCACCGAUCGGACAUAGGUCUAUUACCUAACUCAAUUGCGAUACCACACGACGUCUCUCGCUCGCAAGCGUAGACCCAAUUAUAAUGAGGCAAAGUUCUCAUUGGAAUCUCGCACACCUACUCCAACUAGGAGCAAUUCAAAUCUCUAAACCACGACAACGUUAGGGUUAUGUCAAACUUGCCUUUCCAACGCUACCAAUCACACGAUCCAAUACAUGACAUACCACGUUAUCGAUCCAAACUCGCACUACCGUCCUGACCAAAAUCUCAGCCCUAAACACACAAGUAUCGGCCCGUUGUCACACACAGCUAACUGCGCCUGCCUAAAUGGCUCCUGACUCAGCAGUUCACAAAUGGUCCAGGCACGGAUCAUCACCAAGCAAUAUCCGCAACCGUCGUCUCACACGACACGCUCUACCAAGCACACGUAUUACUAUCGGCUCCUAGGCACCUAGUGUGAGCCACCAGCCCUACGAGUAAUCCCUGGCAUGCUUCAUACUUAGCAACGUUGAAAUGCUACUGUCAACACACUCACUGCUGAAUCAAAUCCGCACCCUACGAGCACCUACACUCGAGCGCUCUACACGUCUCUAUCACGUGCCACACUAAGUCCAACAUGAGGCAAUCUUGCCUAUGCACACUGACUACACGAGCACGACCCACCUACCUCUAUUCGAGGUACUACAAGGCCCACGUGCAUAUACCUGACCACUAACCGAUCAUUUCCUUAACAGUGAUUCUAUUUUCACUGUUCGAUUUACCGGAACAACCUGCAAAAUGCUCGGUCUCACAAGAGUUCCACGAACAUCGCGACUGAACUCUCGCAAUCAGCAACCCGCAUUAGUUUUGAGAGUUGGUCAACCAUUACCAUUUCCAACACGAAUCUCACUUCUUAUCCAUAAACCAUCGCCAGCAAUUUGCUAGCGUCAUCUGGCUCUCUACCUGCUCCAGUAGGUACUACACUUCCACAACAUAAGCACGCCCGGGUAUCUACAUUUACCCGCCCCUUCGAUCUCUACUAUACUAAUGCACAAUUAGUAGUAACAAACUACAUAGUCAAUGCAUGUAGUGCACCAAUCCGUACAUCAUGCAGAAAUACAUGCUUGCUUUAAUUAACUCAUACCUGCCACAUUACAAGCAGUCGCAGCAGGUUUCUCAACAUGGGUCGCGUAGCCAUGGCCACUAGCCGCUCGUCGCGAAUCCCCGGUUGCCUUAUCCUCAUUCACUCUCCAGACCAUGCCGCAGGUGGCACAACCGCAGGUUGUCCCGAAGAGGAAAAAGCCGUCGCCAGUGUAAAGGCUCGGCUAUCACUUUGCGGAUACUCAUCACUUGGGUGAUCCGGUUGUCCACAUCGAGUGCAUUUUCCUUCCCGCUGCACGCAACAUCGUACCCAAUAGGAACCACCACAAAUCACACAUCCUGGUGAGGAUCGGGUAGAGGACGACUUCGAGUGGUGCCUAGAACUUGACUGUCCAUCCAAAUUACUCAGUAGUGGCCUCACUCCUCCUCGUCUACAUUCAUCAGAUUUGCGCUCCUCAAGCACGAAAGCAUUGCCUUGCUCUAUCCACAGAGCCCGAUCGAAGACUUCGGCAAAAGUCUGCAACUUAAAGUUAUGCACAACCUUGAAGAUAUUAGGCCGAAGUCCUCGCACAAAGCAAUCAGCUCGAUCUUUGUCAUCUCGCACCACGUUCGGGACACAAUUCACGAUACGGGUGAAAUCCCGUUCGUACUCCCUUACAGCGCUGUCUCCUUGUCGCAGUUUUCGGAACCUGUCCCGAAGCUUCCUCUUUUCACUAUCGGGGAAAUAAGUUGAACGCAUUAAUUCCCGAAACUCUUCCCAAGCCAUGGGAGGGAGACUAGGCGAUCGAUUCCGUUUAACGCCUUUCCACCACACCCUCGUCGACUGUUGCAGACAACGCACGGCUAGGUGUACCUUGUCCCGCUCCACAACGUACAAAUAAUCUCCAUGGAGUCGAUCCACGACUCCACAGUCCAUGGAUCUACAUCCUCUCUAUCAAAGGUAGGCGGAUCAAACUUCUGGAAGGUCAUGAGAGCCGCCAAAGCGCACUCCUUCUCCGCCUCUACCUCUUAACUAACAGUAGUCGGAUUGCCCGACCCCGACGGAAACGCCUCCGUCGCGACUCCCGGCCGUACUCGACGAGCCGCAACCGGUGCAGUCACCAGCUGAUCUACUGUCUCCUGCAGUCUCUUUAUUCGCUCUUCUUAGCGCAGAGCAGCCUCCUGCUGAUGCUGCACUACAUUCGCAUGUUGCCUCACCACUCCCACGAGUGUGGCCAACUGAUUGCGAAGCUCGAAGCCUCCGCUCGCCUCGGUUUGCUUAGGGACACCACUUGUCCCCUCCCGCGCCGAUCUGGACGAAGAUCGUCUACGCGGUGCCAUCGCCUCCUGAAAUACGAUAACUCAGUCAGUCCUCGACCAUCUGGGUCGAAUACGAAACAAGUAAUACUAACUCAAAUCUGGCGAAAGUCAUACAAGGGAGCCUAUUCUCAUCCCUCGGUUUCAUGUUGUCGUACGCCCAACAUGAACACACUUGGUCAAGAAUAAACCACACCUUCAAUCUACCUCUUACAUCCCUUUUAGAAGUUUACUAAACUUGACCCAAUUGAUUUAUCUUUCGCCACACGUCACAAGUCCUCGUAUCUCACGAGCGUAUGUCCUUAUGGUUUACUAUCCUAGGUCUCCUAGGUCCAACUAAACCGUUAUUACUCUCUUUAUGCUCUGAUACCAUUUGAUCUGCCACGCCCCGAGCUCCGCCUAUUUGGUCGAAUUCGGGCCGCUAACAGACCACCGAAUGGACAGAGCUUUCCCUGUACGUCCUAGGUGUCACAAUCCACACAACGCAAUACACGAUGUUCCAACCAGGAACAGUAUUGAAACACAGAUUGCAUAAGUAUCAAAAAUAUAAAAUGCUACUAUGCUAUUACAAGCAUCCAUCACAAAGAUUUUAUAUUUUACAAUAUUACAAAUACCUUUAAGUUAUUACAACUUAUACAAAUUACUACAAGUUUGUUUCUUUCAUUUAGUACUCUUAGCUAGACCACUUCAGGGUAUUGCUAUCUCGGUCUCAGUGUUAGGGCGCUAUCUACGGAGCUACGCCCUUUCCUCGCGCCGCCGCGCUGCUCGCGUGCGAACCUGAAACCCCAAAACCACGUGGGGUGAGAACUAUAUAAAUAUAGUUUCCAAUGAGUACGGCUACCCAAGGAAAAAGCUCGACCCACGAGGUACAAAGGAGGCACUGUAACAUGUUAGACCAACAGAUAAUCACAAAUAAUUUAUGUAGAUAAUAUUUACAUGUAUGCCUCAAUAUAUGCAAUAUGCAAAUUAUGCGAUUACAUAACAGUAGAUCUACAGAUUCUACUUUCUAUCUCGCUAUCCAUAGCUCAUAUCACACUAGCUUCUAAGGUUUCAUCUACCUUAAUCAAGCUAUCGACCCGACUAGACCUAGAGUCAAUCAUCCGCGAAGUACCUCGUUAAGUCAGGCUUGAGGUGAAGGACGUCUCACAAGCACCUCAGCCUUAAGUACACGCGACUAUAGGUCUAUCACAGGGAGAGGAGAACCAUCGAUCCCCGUGACCAUAAGUCGCUCAAGCUCAACGGGCGAGGAGAACCGUCAAACCCGUUCGAGCUCAUAACGGGCGAGGAGAACCGUCGAACCCGUUGAAUCACUACCGGGCGAGGAGAACCGUCGAACCCGUUGAAUCACUACCGGGCGAGGAGAACCGUCAAACCCGUAGUUCUGAUUCACUUGUUUCAUGGCAUACCGGGCAAGGAGAAACAUCGAGCCCGUUGAAUCACUACCGGGCGAGGAGAACCGUCAAACCCGUAAUUCUAAUUCUAUUCUUGCCAACAGCACCAUUUCUAGGGAUUCCGGAACCCACUUUCACAACUUAAGGGUUUAACACUUACCCUAUGUUGACGACCUUCCUAUGUCUAACUCAAUUUAUUUCCUAGUGGUCCUUCUACCACUAUAACCCAUGACUUAAUUCAAAUACACUAAGUGUCACUAUACAUCAUAACCUAGGUUCAAUCACGCUAGGUUCUAUGUCAUUUCAUCUAGAUCUCGGCACCUAUGUUCAAUGACACUAGGUUCAUGUCCAACCUAUGUUUAAUAACACUAGGUUCAUGCCACUCGAUCUAUGUAUCAUCCUAGUUAUCCUUGCCUUCAUCUUAGUUAUCCUUGCCUAGGAUCAUAGUUCACAUAUUCUCACUUUACACUUUAUAACCGGUGAAUUCUCUAUUCAACCUAGAGUUAUCAACCAAUACUCAAUUCAUGUGAAUUUAGCAUGUUCACAAUAUGUCAAUAUUCAUAUAUGCUCUAGCAUUAACCACAAUGUAUUCGUAUGCAUAUUUCAACGGUAGGUAACAUUAGCUAAUAUAUCAUAAUUGAUGCCUUCACUUUAUCAUUCAUAACCUACCACUAUACAUAUAUGCAUCAAUAAAAACCAUACAUUACUUUGGCAUGGAAGUGACCUAAUCGCUUCGGUGAAGCACAACCCACCUUUAGUUGAUACCGGAAUGUGAGAAAUUCACUUCCCGCACUUUACGGACGACCGCAAUCCUUGCGCGCGACAACUUGAGCUAAUAUGAGGUUUUCCUCACUAGCUUGCCGUAGGCUCAUCGGAAUGUCGAUCCAAGCUUUCCAACGCGUUCGCCUUGCCCUCAAUUAGGUUUGUACGCGAUCAAUUCCAAGCGAGAACCUCAAUCAUACAAAAGUGCAUUAUCGAUCUUAGGUUUCCAUUUAACCUAUUGUCAACCCUUUUAUACAGGUUCUACAAGAACCUAUAGAGUACUACAAACUCUAACAAUUUAAGGACUUCAACCAAUUACUGUAGGCAUACGAGAGACCAACUCCUGUUACCCCUCAAUCCUAAAGCUUCGCAUCCACCCAGAAGCUCACAGGUUACAUUCACAACAUAUAGCUUUUCUAUAGGUUUCCAUCGCAAUUGAAGUUCCAAUACCCCAAGGACCUGCAACUAAGGGGUUGAAGAGAUUUACACCAAUCCCCUAAUCAAAAUCCUGCAUAAAUCCUACGUAAACUUUGGUUGUUUACUCCUAGCUACCAAGGCCAAUACACAACACAUAGCUCACAAGUUAACUAUAUAUCCUAUAGUUUACUAUAGGUCCAUCUAUAGUUUUUAUAGGUUUAUCCAUGACUCACAAGUUAACUAUAUAACCUAAUCAAAUUCCAGCUGAGAAUUAAAUUAAUUACCUCAGGCUCGAAGAUUCCAAGGCUGGGUUUCCACUUCGGCAGCUCCAACACGACCAAAACACCAAGCUGCCACUCUCCAACAAAUUCCCUCCUCUACUUUACUUCUAUGGUUGAGAGAGAAAGAGAGGGGGAUUUAGAUAAAAUAGAGGUUGUAGGAGAAGGUCCCUCGUACGUAGACAUGUUCAGGUGAACUGGGGUGAAGUGAUAAGGAUAAACAAUUGCACUUUAACCCCUCAAUUCAGCAAAAGUGCACUGCAGUCCUGCUGCAGAUUUCUCAGGCUGGUACCUCACUGAGGUACCCGAGGUACCUCACUGAGGUACCCAGUAUAAAAUCCGCACUUGCAGAUUUCUGACAGCAGCAGCAACAGUAGCCCAUUUCAGCACUUCAAUCCACUUCGAGCACCUCUAAUCACUUCCACAAUAUACUAAUGAACCUCCACAAGUCACUAAUUUGGCUCAGAAGCAAUCUAAUUUCAUUUUGGCAUUAUUUUGAUCAAUUUGAUCACAAUUAGCCCGUAGUCGAAAAUUCGACAUAUUACACUCACCUUGAUUUAUUUAAUCAAGGUUAACUCUAUAAUCCGAAAACUCCUUUUACAUUUCGUUUCGCGCCCAAUUUGCGCCGAAACACUCAUUUAUCUCCGGAAUUCAUUCCCACGCAUCCAAAAUUACUCGGGAAUGAUGCACAUUUAAUCCAAACUUCUCUUUGAUCCUUUAGAUCA
rnacentral:lncRNA from 1 species